rnacentral:rRNA from 1 species
UACGUAUGGUGCAAGCGUUAUCCGGAUUUACUGGGUGUAAAGGGAGCGCAGGCGGCGCGGCAAGUCCGAUGUGAAAACCCCCGGCUCAACCGGGGGACUGCAUUGGAAACUACCGGGCUGGAGUGCCGGAGAGGUAGGCGGAAUUCCUGGUGUAGCGGUGAAAUGCGUAGAUAUCGGGAGGAACACCAGUGGCGAAGGCGGCCUACUGGACGGUGACUGACGCUGAGGCUCGAAAGCGUGGGGAGCAAACAGG